UAUUUCUUGGUGUAUUGAUGCACGAAAAUUUUUGAUGUUUUAGGAGUAGUUUAAGCCUGCAAGAAAUAA
rnacentral:tRNA from 1 species